CAGUAGCCGCGGUAAUACGUAGGUCCCGAGCGUUAUCCGGAUUUAUUGGGCGUAAAGCGAGCGCAGGCGGUUAGAUAAGUCUGAAGUUAAAGGCUGUGGCUUAACCAUAGUACGCUUUGGAAACUGUUUAACUUGAGUGCAAGAGGGGAGAGUGGAAUUCCAUGUGUAGCGGUGAAAUGCGUAGAUAUAUGGAGGAACACCGGUGGCGAAAGCGGCUCUCUGGUCUGUAACUGACGCUGAGGCUCGAAAGCGUGGGGAGCAAACAGGAUUAGAUACCCGCGUAGUCCCUGUCUCUUAUACA
rnacentral:rRNA from 1 species